rnacentral:rRNA from 1 species
UGAAGUUGGAAUCGCUAGUAAUCGCGGAUCAGCAUGCCGCGGUGAAUACGUUCCCGGGCCUUGUACACACCGCCCGUCACACCAUGAGAGUCGGGAACACCCGAAGUCCGUAGUCUAACUUUCACGAGAGGACGCGGCCGGAGGUGGGUUCGAUAAUUGGGUGAAGUCGUAACAAGGUAGC